rnacentral:rRNA from 1 species
GAUGAACGCUGGCGGCGUGCUUAACACAUGCAAGUCGAACGGAAAGGCUCCUGCUUGCAGGGGUACUCGAGUGGCGAACGGGUGAGUAAAACGUGGGUGAUCUGCCCUGCACUUCGGGAGAAGACUGGGAAACUGGGUCUAAUACCGGAUAGGAUGUUGGUUAGGAUGUCAUUGUGGAAAGUAUUUCGGUGUGGGUUGAGCUCGCGGCCUAUCAGCUUGUCGGUGGGGUAAUGGCUUACCGAGGCGUCGACGGGUAGCCGGCCUGUGAGGGUGUACGGCGACACUGGGACUAAGAGGCGGCCCAGACACCGACUGGUGGGAGCAGGGGGGAAGAUUGCAGGAGGGGCGCAGGCCGGGUGCAGAGGGGCCUCGGGUGGUAAGACUGUCUUAUUAGUGUAAACUACAUUCGCAAGUAACUAUGCACUUUUUGACGGUACCUGGAGAAGAAGCAACGGCUAACUACGUG